rnacentral:lncRNA from 1 species
GCCUGAAUGACAGUGUGCGUAUCCUGCCCAUUGUCAAGGGGUGGGGUCAGCAUAAUGCCUGAAUCCUUAUAAUGAUGACCACUCGAUCAGGAAGUGAAAUAGCCACUGACCUCCAGUGUGCUGUACCACUCAGCUUUGGUGCUCUGUAGGACUGGGGUAUCAAAUCAUUCUCCACCUGUAGGAUUUCCAAGUUGCCACGGCUUAUGGUGCAUAGGCCCACCACAGGUCAAGGAACCUCAACAAUCAAUUCAACAUAUUCAAAAAGAAAAAAUACAAGUCAUUAGCAUGUGCCACUUUAUGGAAAGAAGAGGACACACAAUCAGAAGAGCCCAGAAGGUGACAGCAGAGACCAGUACAGCCACCACUGCAGGGACCUCAGUUGCAGACUUCGGGAAUGUGACCCUGCUGACACCUGGGUUUUGUUUUUGUUUUAUUUUGUUUUUUACUUCUGGACUUGAGAAUUAGGAGAGAGAAUGUUUCUAUUGGUUCAAGCUGCCCAACUUGUGACAAUUUGUUAUAGCAGUCAUGGGACAGCCACAUCAGAGAUUAAUGACUACAGUGUGCCAAAGCACUUGAAGGUCCAGGCCAGUGUUCACAAAGAACAAAAAAUCCCCAGGGGCCCCGGUCCAGCAGCAUUAGGAGUUUAACCACAAGAUUUCCAUGGGCUGCUGGCAAAGGGAUCAAGACAGGAGUGGCAAGUGCUAGAACAGAGCUGACUGCCGGCCCCUCAGGUCUCAAACAAACAAGCAACACAACACACAGGUGUAAAAGAUUCCAAAGUGAACCUGAAGACAGGUGCUGGUGUGGCAAUGAAGGGCAGAGAUGUGGUGAGAGCUGUGCAGCACGGUAAAAGUUGUGAGGACUGAGAGGUUGUGAGCACCCGCGCACGCACGCACGCACACACACACACACACACACACACACACACACACACACACUGCCAAGGUCUUCUGGAGCUAGAGGUUGGAGCAGGAUAUUCAUCUUGGAAAAACACAAGUUCAUACAUCUGGGCAAAAGUAGUCCAAACAUGAGUUUGUGACAGUAAGGACUAGCUAGAGAGGGUGGGGGAGGGACAACAAGCCUGGGGCAGCUGAAGAGCCCUACUGUGCAGGCUCUCUGACUCUGUAGGGGUCUCAGAGAGAGGAAUAA